CGGGGCUCCGCGCGGGGAAGCAGCAGGCACUUUCGGCAGGUCUGUAAACGGAUCCCGACCUCCCCACUGCUCACUGUGGGGCGUGGGGACUGGCCGGCGGUCUUGCUGGACACUCAGCUCCUCGUGUGGGUCUGGGGCGGAGGCCUCCUGCGCUAAUCCUCCACUGUGUGCCUGGCCCUCAAGGCGUCACAGAGCGCACUGGGGCACAGCUGGCCCCUAGAAGCCAAGCAGAACAAGGACGUCGUGUGCAGGCGAGUCCUCGGCUGUCCAAGGGGAAGAAAGAGCUCUGGGAACCUGAGCGUCCUUACGCAGAGAUCCUCAAGGGGCUGACUCACGUGUUUUCUCUACGGCACACUUUGCUCAUCUGUAAGGAGAAGCAGGAGGAGGUUGUGAGUGUUGGUCAGCCUGGGAGAUGCAGCGGCGCCCUCGACAUGCGAUCCCGGGAGGCCUAACGGGGAUGUGGCGCUAACCGACUCACCGCCCCAGACCACACGCUCUGCACUGGAGAAUGCGUCCUGACAGCUUGCGCAUCGUGAUGGGAUUCGCAUUGCUGGAAUGGUGGUUAAUUUGCAUUAGGUCCCGGUGACUUCACGGUGCAGGUGAACUUCUGGUCACAGUCUUCUGAGAGAGACAGAGCAUGAGGGUCAGAGAGAGAAGGAGAC